ACAUCCUGCUCAGGCUCUGCAUGGAAGACUUCCGGGCUGACUGUGCUCAGCUCUUCUGUUUGCUAGACCUUCACGGGUUGCAACAGCAAGCAUGGACUUUGCAGACAGAAAGACUUGGGUUUGAAUCCCAGCUCUGUCACCAUCCGACUGUGUGAUAUGGGGUUUUGCAGGCUCAUCCUUGGGGCCAGGACUAUAGAGAGGCAAGUGACCAGACGCCGAAGACAAAAAUUCCUCCAGGUUCAAACUUGCCCUACCCUGCUUCGAUGCAUAAGCAGUUGACUCAAUAAAGAUGUGUCUCUGACCCAG
rnacentral:lncRNA from 1 species